rnacentral:rRNA from 1 species
GUACAGUCUACUAGCGUCGGGUCUGUACUUGGGCGCAGCUCACGCUAUAAGUAGACGCCUGAGUACGGCGUCCUCAAUGUAUAGACGGGCCCACAAGCGGUGAGCAUGUGUAUUCGAUGCACGCGAAGAACAUACCAGGUCUUGACAUCCUCGGACUUGGCAGAGAUGCCUUGGUGCCUUCGGGAGCCGAGUUACAGGUGCUGCAUGGCCGUCGUCAGCUCGUGUCGUGAGAUGUUGGGUUAAGUCCCGUACGAGCGCAACCCUUGUCCUUAGUUGCCAGCACGUCAUGGUGGGAACUCUAGGGACGACUGCCGGUGACAAACCGGAGGAAGGUGGGGACGACGUCAGGUCAUCAUGGCCCUUACGACCUGGGUUACACACGUGUUACAAUGGCUGGUACAGAGGGUUGCGAAGUCGCGAGGUCGAAGCUAAUCCCUUAAAGCCAGUCGUAGUCCGGAUCGGAGUCUGCAACUCGACUCCGUGAAGUCGGAAUCGUCUAGUAAUCGCGGAUCAGAAUGCCGCGGUGAAUACGUUCCCGGGCCUUGUACACACCGCCCGUCACACCAUGGGAGUGGUAUUGCACCAGAAGUGGCUAGUCUAACUACGGAGGACUGUCACCACUGUGUGGUUCAUCCUGGGGUGAAGUCAGUAACAAGGUAACACAAGGGCAGAAUUCGCGGCCGC